rnacentral:rRNA from 1 species
AGAGUUUGAUCCUGGCUCAGAACGAACGCUGGCGGCGUGGAUAAGACAUGCGAGUCGAACGGGGCAAUGUGGUAGUAAUAUCAUGUUGUUCAGUGGCGAACGGGUGCGUAACACGUGGAUACAUUCCGGGAAGCGGGGGAUAGCCCAGGGAAACUUGGAUUAAUACCGCAUGUGGUCGAGAGACUAAAGACGGGGAUCGAAAGACCUGUCACUUCCUGAUUGGUCCGCGGCCUAUCAGCUAGUUGGUGAGGUAAAGGCUCACCAAGGCGACGACGGGUA